rnacentral:lncRNA from 1 species
AGGGUCAACUCAACGAGACCGCGACACAGUUCGGCAGCGGUGCGCGCCUGAGCAGCACCUAAAUAUUGCGCUUGCUUUUACAGUGCUGUCGGACCCACGAGAGGAACUGCUGCUGCCCAGCCCAGUUGAAGACGGAUCUACGCGACGAGUCCCGGGUAUCACCUGCAUCACCUGUGUUAGUGUGUGAAAGAC